GACGAACGCUGGCGGCGUGCUUAACACAUGCAAGUCGAACGGAAAGGCCCUGCUUUUGUGGGGUGCUCGAGUGGCGAACGGGUGAGUAACACGUGAGUAACCUGCCCUUGACUGUGGGAUAACUUCAGGAAACUGGGGCUAAUACCGGAUAUGAGCUCCUGCUGCAUGGUGGGCGUUGGAAAGUUUCGGCGGUUGUGGAUGGACUCGCGGCUUAUCAGCUUGUUGGUGGGGUAGUGGCUUACCAAGGCUUUGACGGGUAGCCGGCCUGAGAGGGUGACCAGGGACAAUGGGACUGAGAGACGGCGCAGAAUGGUACGGGAGGCAACAGGCGAGAGUAUGACGGAGUGGGGGGAAGCGUGAUACGGAGGCGUCGCGAGCGUGAUACCGGGUUUCGAGGUGAAAACAGAUGUGGCAUGUGACGAAGAGAGAGUGACGGUAAUGGGUAAAGAAGCAACGGCUAACUACGUG
rnacentral:rRNA from 1 species